UGGAACCGGUCGGAUUCGAACCGACGAAUAGAAGUCUUUGGCAACUAAUGCUCUUUGCCACUUAGCUACGGUCCU
rnacentral:tRNA from 3 species